GAUAGAAGAGAUUGAGGUUAAAGGGAGGAUGGGGUUGGGGUUGGGGUUUGGGGUUUCGGAUUUUAGGGAUUUAAACGUAAACAUAGUUAUUUCCUCGUAAAUUAACGAGGAACUUACGACGAUUCUUAAAAAUAAAGAACGCGGCACUCGUUAAUUCCACGUAAGCAGAAAUCGUCGUAAAGACCUCAUAAUAAAAAAACGAUGGCCUCGUUCAUUCCUCGUAAAAAUAAAAGCGGGCCUCGCUAAUUCCUCGUAAAUUAACGACGAUGUAACGAGGAAACGAAACGGGAAUAAAUUGGUUUGCCGUGAUCAAAGUUACACCUCGUGGACAAAUCAUCAGUGGAGAAGAACCACCAUUGCAAGAAGAACAGAUAGAUGAAGUUGAGGUACCUGAACAACAAAUUGAUGACAUCCUUCUCAUUGAUCCGCAUAAUCAUGAGUACGAAGAUAUUACUGACGAUGCCACGGACGAAGCUGUUGAAGACGAGUUUAAUGAAAAUGAUGAUGUUUCUAGUAAUGACGAGAAUGUCGAUGUAUCUGAUUGAUGUAUUUGUGUUUUAAUAUGAUUGAUUUUCAGAUUUAAUGCAUGUGAUUUGAUGGAUUUAAUCAUGGAAAUCUAUUUAUAUAAUUUAAUUUUUGUAAUGGGGUUUGAAUUAGAAAGAAGAGAUUGAGAUUAUUAGUUAAGGAAUUGUGGUUUCAGAAUUUGGGGUUUGGAAUGGAUAGAAGAGAUUGAGGUUAAAGGGAGGAUGGGGUUGGGGUUUGGAAUAUAUGAAGUAGAAGAUAAGGAAGAUAAGGAAGAAGGGGUUUGGGGUUUCGGAUUUUAGGGAUUUAAACAUAAACGUAGUUAUUUCCUCGUAAAUUAACGAGGAACUUACGACGAUUCUUAAAAAUAAAGAACGUGGCACUCGUUAAUUCCACGUAAGCAGAAAUCGUCGUAAAGACCUCGUAAUAAAAAAAUGCGGGCCUCGUUCAUUCCUCGUAAAAAUAAAAGCGGGCCUCGCUAAUUCCUCGUAAAUUAACGACGAUGUUACGAGGAAACGAAACAUGGACCUCGCGAGUUCCUCGUAAAUAAAAACACGGGCCUCACGAGUUCCUCGUAACUUUACGAGGAAUUUACGAUAUUUCAUAAUUUCCUAUAUAUACACGCGAGUUCUCACUUCCCAUUUCGUCUCAACUUCCUCUCCCUUUUGUAGCUAUGGUACGCUCUCUAUUUCCUCUCUAAUUUGAUUAGUUUAGGUAGAUUAGGUGGUUAGUGUAGGAAAUUUAGAUAGUUUUACGGAUUUUAUGUUAAUUAGUGUUGAUUAGGUGGUUAAUGUAGAGAACUUAGUUAGAUUUAUAGAAUUUGUUAAUUAUUGUUGAUGUUAAUUUUAGGCGAAUCAUCAUCCGUCACACAUGCCGACGCGGAUGUAGAGAGGAGGAGUGAGGAAUUCUACCGGGGAUGAACGACCCUUAGUUUUUUUUUUUUUCAAUGGUUGUAUUAUAAAUUCAAAAAUUAUUUAUGUAUAAAUUAUUUUCGUAUUUAAUAUUCUUUUUAAAUUAGAUUUUUAUUAAAUAAUUAAAUACAUUGUUUUUUUUUAAUCUGGAAAAUAUAAACUCAAAGUAAAUUCGUAGCUAAAUUACGACAACCUUACGUGGAAAUUUUACGAGGAAUUAACGAGUAAAAUAUUUACGUCAACACUACGAGGAAAGAUUAACGAGUAUUUGACGUGGAAACAUUUACGUGUUAUUUACGAGGAAAUGUUUUCAAGGUAUUUACGAGGAAAUGUAGCGUCCCCCUUACGUGGAAGGGUUACGUGGUUUUUACGACGAAUACUUUGCUUCGUCUUUACAAGGAAAUGUUUUCUCGUUAGUUUACGACGAAUUAGCAAGGAAAUAUGCGUUACGACGAACAAAUAACGACGAAACGUGUUUCCUCGCUAGUUCCUCGUAAAACUGAUUUUACGACGAACUUACUACGAAUUUCGCCGUCGUUAAUGUUGUGUUUUCUUGUAG
rnacentral:lncRNA from 1 species